rnacentral:rRNA from 1 species
UACGAAGGGGGCGAGCGUUGUUCGGAUUUACUGGGCGUAAAGCGCACGUAGGCGGCUUUGUAAGUUAGAGGUGAAAGCCCAGGGCUUAACCCUGGAAUUGCCUUUAAGACUGCAUCGCUAGAAUUGUGGAGAGGUAAGUGGAAUUCCGAGUGUAGAGGUGAAAUUCGUAGAUAUUCGGAAGAACACCAGUGGCGAAGGCGACUUACUGGACACAUAUUGACGCUGAGGUGCGAAAGCGUGGGGAGCAAACAGG